GAGAGAGAAGACAGAGAGAGAGAGAGAAGACAGGGAGAGAGAGAAGACAGAGAGAGAGAGAGAAGACAGAGAGUAGGAGAAGACAGGAAGAGAGAAGACAGAGAGAGAGAAGACAGAGAGAGAGAGAAGACAGGGAGAGAGAGAAGAGAGAGAGAGAGAAGACAGGGAAAGAGAGAGAAGACAGGGAGAGAGAGCAGACAGAGCGAGAGAGAAGAGAGGGAGAGAGAAGACAGAGAGAGAGAGAGAAGACAGGGAGAGAGCAGACAGAGAGAGAGAGAGAGAAGACAGGGAGAGAGAGAAGACAGGGAGAGAGAGAGAAGACAGGGAGAGAGAGAAGACACAGAGAGAGAGAGAAGACAGAGAGAGAGAGAAGACAGAGAGAGAGAAGACAGAGAGAGGGAGAAGACAGAGAGAGAGAGAAGACAGGGAGAGAGAAGACAUAGAGAGAGAAGACAGGGAGAGAGAAGACAGGGAGAGAGAAGACAGGGAGAGAGAGAGAAGACAGAGAGAGAGAGAAGACAGGGAGAGAGAGCAGACAGGGGGAGGGAGCAGACAGAGCGAGAGAAGACAGGGGGAGAGAGAGAAGACAGGGAGAGAGAGAGAAGACAGGGUGAGAGAGAGAAGACAGAGAGAGAGAGAAGACAGGGAGAGAGAGAAGACAGAGAGAGAGAGAGAAGACAGGGAGAGAGAGCAGACAGAGAGAGAGCAGACAGAGAGAGAGAAGACAGGGGGAGAGAGAGAAGACAGGGAGAGAGAGAAGACAGGGUGAGAGAGAGAAGACAGAGAGAGAGAGAAGACAGGGGGAGAGAGAAGACAGAGAGAGAGAGAAGACAGGGAGAGAGAGAAGACACAGAGAGAGAGAGAAGACAGAGAGUGGGAGAAGACAGGGAGAGAGAAGACAGAGAGAGAGAGAGAAGACAGAGAGAGAGAGAAGACAGGGAGAGAGAGAGAAGACAGGGAGAGAGAGCAGACAGAGCGAGAGAGAAGACAGGGAGAGAGAAGACAGAGAGAGAGAGAAGACAGGGAGAGAGCAGACAGAGUGAGAGCAGACAGAGACAGAGAGAAGACAGGGAGAGAGAGAGAAGACAGAGAGAGAGAAGACAGGGAGAGAGAGAAGACAGGGAGAGAGAGAGAAGACAGAGAGAGAGAAGACAGAGAGAGAGAUACAGAGAGAGAGAGAGCAGAUAG
rnacentral:lncRNA from 1 species